rnacentral:lncRNA from 1 species
CCUUUUUAGGGCUGCACCUGCGGUAUAUGGAAGUUCCGGGGCUAGGGGUCAAAUCCAAGCUGCAGCCAGGCUAUAUCACAGCCCACGUGGGAUCUGAGACCUACGCCGCAGCUCACAGCAACGCCAGAUCCUUAACCCACUGAGCAAGGCCAGGGAUCAAACCCACCUCCUCAUGGAUACUAUCUGGGUAAAAGCUUGAGGACACCAGUUUCUCGAACUUCACCCACAUCUAAGAUUCAGUUCUUACGUUAUCAGCCCCCGGUCCAACACAAAGGGGAACCGGGGGAAAACUGACAGCAGCUCUGCCCCAGAACACCCCCGCUUAGUGACGAGGCUCCUCGGUAAAAUGCAUUCGUGGUAACCCACAUUCUGUGAAGGGCUGUGGUCUUCACACCGCGGUGAUCUGGCCUCCCUCGUCCCCAAGUCCCGCCACCCCGCUGAGCUGGCCCAGCUCGGCAGGCUGCUGGGCCUAUGCGCCCGCUGAGCCUUGGCUGGACAGUCCUCCUGGCUCCCAGGGCCUCACCUCCAGGUCUCCGCCUGGACGCCACCCCCAGGGCAGCCCGGCCACUCCCUCCCCAGCGGGCUCUCUGCCCUCACCCACCUCUCUGCUCCCCUCUCUCCACCUCAUCUGUGAUCGCCUACGGGCGUGUUCGACUCCCGCGUGGAUUGUCUCUCUCCUCUAGCGAAAUAGAAAUUUUGUGGGAAGGGGGCCUUUUUCUGUCUUGUUCUGCCUUCUCUUCCUAAACCCAGGACUGGGCCACCUGGAAGCAUCUGUGGGGUGACAGGUACAGGCGCGGAGGUGGCAGGGGUGGCAGAGGGGACACUGACUCAGGGGGCAAUGAAGUCAUGAGGUCACCUCGGAAGGUACGAAUGGGCUCUCUUCCCGGUCACCACUGACCGAGCACAAGGCCACCGUCCGGCCCUCCGCCAGCCUCCCUCCCAGAGGCUGACGUCUCACAGAUGCCAGUGGCAGCUCGGAGGACCCCUUCAUGGUGACUGUGGAACCGGCUGAUGAAGGUGACCUGUGUUCUCCCCCCUCUGCGGAGCGGAGGCGGCGCUUGCGGGGAGCCAGACCGCUCCGUCUCUGGCUGGACGAGGGCAGUGGCAGGGCUCUGGCACCCGCGGGUCACCCAAAGGACACCUGCUCCUCCCAUUCGGUUCCUUUGGACCUUCAUGAGAAAGAAUCCAAACCAGAGCAGAGGAGUAGAGAGCCCGCAGCAGCAGGGGGAGGGGGGGGACAAAUGUCAAUCAACGUCACAUCCAAGGCGGUGGGGGCGGGGCUGCAGAGUCAGAUGUCAGGGCUUCGGGGAUGGGGACGGGGACUGGGCGGGUGAGAGUCGGGGUGGAGGAAAAUCAGGGCCGGAGGAGGAGGUGAGGGCGGCCUCCUCUGCCGCUUAACGCUUGUUGAUGGCCCUGGGCUUGGGGACUGGACGCCCGGUGCCGGCACCCUGUGAUGGAGGCCGUGUUGCUGAAAUGGGCCUCUGAUGUCAGAGGCCAGCGGGUUUGAGGCACUUGUCCUCAGACCUCUGCCACUCUCCUGGCCUCCCGGCCUUCUGGCAUCGGGAUGAGCAGGCAGGAGAGAGAAAGUCACUGCCUGCUGAUGGCUCAGGUUCACCUGGA